rnacentral:rRNA from 1 species
UUCCAGACUCCUACGGGAGGCAGCAGUGAGGAAUAUUGGUCAAUGGCCGGAAGGCUGAACCAGCCAAGUCGCGUGAGGGAAUAAGGCCCUAUGGGUCGUAAACCUCUUUUGUCAGGGAGCAAAGGCGUCCACGUGUGGACGAGAGGAGAGUACCUGAAGAAAAAGCAUCGGCUAACUACGUGCCAGCAGCCGCGGUCAUACGUAGGAUCCGAGCAUUAUCCGGAGUGACUGGGUGUAAAGAGUUGCGUAGGUGGCAUAAUAAGUAGCUAGUGAAAUCUGGUGGCUCAACCAUUCAGACUAUUAGCUAAACUGUUAAGCUCGAGACCGUUAGGGGUAACUGGAAUUUCUAGUGUAGGAGUGAAAUCCGUAGAUAUUAGAAGGAACACCGAUAGCGUAGGCAGGUUACUGGGACGGUUCUGACACUAAGGCACGAAAGCGUAGGGAGCAAACGGGAUUAGAUACCCCAGUAUG